AUUUUUUUUCUGAUUACAUCACUUGAUCCAAGCACCGCCUGCAGAGAGCUUUUUCUGUUUGUUCAGAGUUGCCUCCAGCUUGGAGUUAGAACUAGCAGGAAAAUAAGGAGCACCCUGGAAAUCAAUUUCUCCUCUCUGUACGGGAUUUUUUCCAGUCUAGGUACAGCUGCUUAACUCCCCCAACUCAGAUGAUCUUGUGAAAUGACAGCCACAUCCAUGUGGUUUCUCCCUAUAAAUAACAUUAGGGGAAAUAACCCUUUUUUGCUUUAAAAAAAAAAAAAAAAAACCCUAUAUAUUGCUUAUGUAAAGAAUGUUGAAUCAUUUGGCCCAUGUUUUAAUUGAUUCUAGACACCUCUUUGGAAAUAAGUCUGAGGCGUAGUUUGUGAAACAUGUUUCAAAAGUGUUUGAUGUAAAAUAAAUGCUAGACAUUUACAGUACAGAAAUAGUUUUUAAAAAAAAUGUAGAUUACAACUCUGUUCCUAAGAACCUCAGCCUUUAUUGUGUCUUAGUAAAGCUGAUCUGCUUUCAUUUUAGUUUAUUGCAUUUCUGGUGUAAUAGCCUCUUAAGAUAGAACUAUUAAUACAUAUGUACUGGUUAAUGCCUGUUAAUGCAGAAAAUGGCACUUUGUUCUUUCAAUGUGUUUCCCUCAGUGUCACAGGGUAUAACAGUUUGAUAGGAAAAGGUCAUCUGACAUUAGUCAAAAAUGCAUUCUCCCCAUUUAAAAUGUGUAUGUAUAAUUGGUUGCAUAGACAAAUGUCACCUUUUGCAGUAUCUUUACCUUGAUCAUAGUCUUAGACAUCAACUGUGUGUCCACUUUCCAGCUGCCAUAGAAAUUUGGUACAUUUGCAAAUUCUGGUGAAACUUUGUGAGCUGAAUGUAAUGGUAGAUCAAAUGAUCCAAAGCACUUGGGUGUUAUCCUUCAGUCUACAUUGAACCAUUCGGACAUUGGGAAUAGUCUUUACACAAGGGAAGUCUUUUGAGAGUAUUUGUGGGGUUUUUUUGUUUCUUAUCUGUUGGAUUUCACUGGCAAAAAAAAAAAAAGUAAUCUAAACACAGUGGGAUCAAUUCACCAUAUAACAUUUUCUAUAUUGUGAUUGGUUUUAUCUUUUUGUUGACUCUUAUUAUGACCUUUACUCAAUUUCAACAAUAUUUCAAUAGAUACUUUAUUACUGUUAUGCUCAAUAUAAUCACUUAGAAAGGUUGACGGGAAGAAAAUCAAACUACAAGUCAUACAUACCUUCACUUUACACUAAGACAUCAUGUUGUAUGUCACAUAGUUUCUAGAUUGAUUUCUCUUGUGUAUAAGUUAUAACAUCAAAGAUGCCAAAGGGUAUAUGAAAUAAGCUACAGUAAUAGUCAACAGAACUUAACCUGGACCUUAUGUUGUAAUAAUUUAUUCAUAUUAGCUGUAGUCUUCUGUAUUUAUAUUUUCAGUAUUUAUUAUGAAUGACAUGGAAAUUCGUGUAUUUAUUGUGGCUUUUUAUUGCAGUGUGUAUAUAUAUAUAUAUAUAUUACAAAUAAGCAUUUUUAAGUCUUAUCCUUAAGUUUCUUUUAUUAGUGGCACUUGUAUUAUGCUGUACUUUUUAUUAUAUAUUGUACAAAUAUCUUGUCCAUUUGUUUGCAGCAGAGUAAAACCAGUUUCUAAAUUGUAU
ensembl:lncRNA